GGGAUGGCGGGGCUGGCGGCAGGUGAGGGCGGGGGCAGCGCGACGCCUCAGGCUGGAAGCGGAGCAGGCUACGGGGCGCCGCGCGCAGGGA
rnacentral:SRP_RNA from 1 species